rnacentral:rRNA from 1 species
GCCACUAAUCAAAGGUCUCAUUAAUACUCAAGAAAAUAUUCAUCCUGCACAGUAUCUGUAAAAACAGCAACAACAUCUACACCCGCAAGGGUAAAUUCCCGCUCAUCACAGAAAAGCUCACAACUUGUCCCUUUUGCAUCAUGGAGAAGCAACACAAAACUAACAAUAUAAACUCCCGAACAACUAUGAGCUACUAGACCUUAAAAAUCAAUGUAUCACAAUUGAUAAACUAACCUUUAGUAGAAGUAACAAGCCUUUCAUAUAGUUAAAUAGCUGGCUUUCCUUACAAAAGCAUCGAAGUGCUGCCUUAUAGAAACCUACCACAUAAAAUUUCUAUGAAGGUUAACUUCCCGAGGAUUAGCUCGGGGAGAGGACAAAAUACACGAACCCUACCGCCCAACAGUAGGCUUAAAGUCAGCCACCCAAUAACGUUCUAGUUAAUGGCCCGUACAAAGCAUAAUAUUCAAAUCUAAAUUUUAACACACAAAGGAACUUGGCGUCAAAUGUACCACACCAGUGAACAGGCAUCCUAUUAGUAUUAACAAUACAACAAUCCAACUACUAAACAAAAUUGAAGCACAAAACAUAUAUUCCCCCAUAAAUAUAAAGAGUGAACUCGGCAACAAAGUUCUCUGCCUGUUUACCAAAAACAUCGUCUCCUGAACUCCCUUCAUAGGAGAUAAUGCCUGCCCAGUGAACAACUUAAACGGCCGCGUUAGCGUGAGCGUGCUAAGGUAGCGUAAUAAAUAGCCUCUCAAUUGGAGGCCAGUGAAUGGCAAGACUAGGAACACCUGUACCCCUUAUAUUAAAAAAACUUUUCGUCUAAGUGAAAAGACUUAGAUAAUCAAGGAAGACGAAAAGACCCCGCGGAACUUUACUUUUUCUCACACCUCUGCCUAGAGCUAGAAAAGUAAAAAGUUUGAUUGGGGCAAUCUCGGAACCACCAAGCUUCCGAUUCUCAUUAUAAAAAAUCUAAAACUAGAUAAGGACAAAAUAGAAGUUACCCCGGGGAUAACAGCGUUAUCCAACUUAAGAGUACACAUCGAAAGUUGGGUUUGCGACCUCGAUGUUGGCUUAAGGAUAUCCACAUUAGUGCAACCGCUAUGGAAGGAUAGUCUGUUCGACUAUUGCACCCUUACACGAGCUGAGUUAAGACCGGCGCAAGCUAGGUUGGUUUCUAUCUCCUUAAUUAAAACAUUUCUUGAUUGUACGAAAGGACCCCAAGAAGCGCAUCAAACAAGCACACCUUAAAUAUCACACCAUUUAAACAAAAUUUUAUUGCCAUAA